AUGGACCUCAUGGGCAGGAACGUGCAUCAGCGCUGGUUCCUCCUGUUUCUAGUGGCAGCUCCCAGAUGUGUCCUGUCCCAGGUACAGCUGCAGGAGUCGGGACAAAGCCUGGUGACGCCCUUGCAGACGCUAUCUCUCACCUGCUCGGUCUCUGGAUUUUCUCUAACCAACAAAGCUGUGCACUGGGUCCGCCAGGCCCCUGGAAAGGGACUAGAUUGGAUUGGUGUUAUAUGGAAUACUGGGGUCACAGCCUAUAACCCAAGUCUUCAGUCCCGACUCAGCAUCUCCAGGGACACUUCCAAGAACCAAGUUUACCUAAAACUGAGCAACUCACUGACUGAGGACACAGCUGUGUAUUAUUGUGCAAGACACACAGUGAGGGCAAGUCCCUGUGAGCGCAGACACAAACUUGCUGAGUGA